ensembl:lncRNA
UUAUCUUCCAGUAAACAUCAACUGAAAAAAUGGCCAGUUCUUGUUGAGUUUUAGAUGGUGGCGGUGGUGAUGGUGGUAGGGUGUUCAAAAGGGCACUGAAAGAUUACUGGGGACUAAGAAGUUUAUUAAUGCCAUGGAUACAUAGAGAAGCAACUGCAUGAUAGUCUCCAGAGAAAUGCAAGUCCAUAAGGCAGGAGAAGACAUCUCUUCUUGGUCUUCUGAAGUUUUCUUAUAGUGCACUGGCAGGGACCUGCCCUGGUCUUCGGAAUGAACGGAAGAAGAAUGACAACCUCAGAUGGUGCUGCCUAAAUGUUGAGCUUCAAAGCCUGAAUGGUGCUUCCUUCAUGGAGUCAGUUCUGCUAAGGUCUGG